AGCGCAAGCGGGAGAACAAGUUGGAAGUGAAAUCCAUGGGCUCAACCCAUGAACUGCUUUCAAAACUGUUUUUCUUGAGUAGUGCAGAGGUAGGCGGAAUUCCCGGUGUAGCGGUGGAAUGCGUAGAUAUCGGGAGGAACACCAGUGGCGAAGGCGGCCUACUGGGCACCAACUGACGCUGAGGUGCGAAAGCGUGGGGAGCAAACA
rnacentral:rRNA from 1 species